rnacentral:lncRNA from 7 species
GAAUUAAAAAUUAACCUGAUCUGAGUGGGAGAUCUUAGCACAUCUGGGUUUGCAAUAGCUUGGAGCUGCGCCUGAACCAGGACUGGGAGCCGACAUGGAGAUAAACAUUGCUGUGCCAACCUUGGUGCUGCCAUCUACACACUGGAAACCUAAAGCCACCUGUGUCCUAGUGAUUCUCUGGGAAGAGGAACAAACCAAGGACUGCCUGUCUUCUGUGCAUCCCUGAUCAGGCCUGCAAGAAGGCAACUAUAACUGAUACAACACAUAAAGGAGAAGCAGGAUGCCUAAAGGAUGUUGUGGAAGUCAGGCUGGGACUGCGAAUCUGCUGGCCUUUUUCCACUGGACACAACAGUAGCCAAGAUGCUAGACCCUUGGCAUGACAUGCAGCCAUGGCCUCAGCCCUUACCCAAGGUCACAAGGUGGGCUGGUUCCCUAUGGUGGGCUCUGCACUCACAGCUCUGCAGCCCAGUGCACCAACAGCGCUCAGCUCCCACGGCGGUGAGAGGCGUUAGCUAAUUAAACCUUCCCUCAUCUGUGGGAGAGAGAGAAAACCACAAUGGAGUAGAAGUGAGCAAAGGGUGUUGUGUUCCUCUAAAAGCAGCCAAGGGCCCUCUCAGAUGGUUUCAGGCUUUGAAGGUACAGACUGAGCAAAGAGCUAAAGAGAAGAUUUUGUUCUUAUUUUACGUUAAGAACUUCUGCUUAAGUGUGCCCAUCAGUGCUCUCCUGAAGCUGCCAGACUUCAGAGCAAAUCACGGAACAUUCUGAGUUGGAAGGGACCCACAAGGAGCACUGAGUCCAGCUCCUGCUGCAGCCCUUUUUGAACGAUUAAAGGAACCCUUAUUUGGCCCCCAUACCCAUUCAUUACCCUUUUCAUUCUUUCUAACCCCGAGCACCUCAAGAUGCAAAGACUUUGCUGCCUUCAGAUCUGUGCUUUCCCAGCUUCCCCAGUCAGUUUAGCAAACUGGUUAGCACAAGAUGUUACUCCUGGAUUUGUCCAUGUUUUCCUCACUGCUGAUUGCCUAGCAAAGCAGCCACCAGCACCAAGAGGGGCCGGCAAUACACUGUGCUGGGGUUGCUGACAUGGGAGGCUGAGUGCAGCAGGGCUAUCCUGGGCUGCUGCACGUCAGCCAGGGGAGAAGGAUUCUGAGAGAUUGUCUCUGAAAUUUUCCUCGUGGUGCACUGACUAAGAGGAGGAGUGUUGGCCUGCAGCAAGGUACAGCAGCAAUGGAAGGCUGCCAGAGUCAAAUAGAGGGAGUGCAGAUGCAACUGGAGCUUGUAAAGUGGCAAAUUGUAACGGCCUACAAUACAUCUAUACUGUUUUAUCUGCGCUGGUAUGGCUGUGCUGCUAAGGUUGUUACACAUCUCAGAAUCAGUUUUUGUUCUGAAAGCUGUGAAGUCUCUGAUUAAAAGUGAAUUAAUAU